GUCCUAGCUGUAAACGGUGAGUACUAGGUGUUGGAGGUAUUGACCCCUUCAGUGCCGUAGCUAACGCAUUAAGUACUCCGCCUGGGAACUACGACCGCAAGGUUGAAACUCAAAGGAAUUGACGGGGGCCCGCACAAGCGGUGGAGCAUGUUGUUUAAUUCGAUGCAACGCGCAAAACCUUACCUGGGCUUGACAUGUGGUGACAUCAGGAUGAAAGUCCGGCUUUCCGCAAGGAACACCAACACAGGUGCUGCAUGGCUGUCGU
rnacentral:rRNA from 1 species